rnacentral:lncRNA from 1 species
GAAUAAAACAAUUACUUUACAGCUCAGUGCAAUGUAGUAUUUAAAGAAAAGGUAGGCAUUUUGAUUCCCAAGUAAACUAAAGAGAAGAAAACUGAGGCUUAAAGAGGGCCUGUUUGCGUGUUCCCAACUGCUAUGUGGCCAAGAAUAACAAUCUUUAAUAUUGGUAUCCUUAUUUACAAAGAAAAUGAGUGCAGAAAGGACAAGUAGUUUUCGUGAAACCACUUGGAAGUGGAGGAGAAGGGUUUUGAACUCCCAUCAUCUCAAGCUCAUGCUUUGCCAUCUCACCACAGUGAAAUGAUGGAAAACUCAAGUCUGCAAACCUUAAAUUUUCAAUCAAAGGGAGGAAACCUUGGGCAAAUGAAGAGGUCAUGGAUAUGAUAUGAAAAUAUUUUAUGAUUUUGCAUGUGAGAAGCUACUGCAUAGAUGAAUUCAACUGCAGGAUCCCUUUUAAAAAAUAUGUAUCUUCAAGAUUGAGUGUGAGCCUUCACAAACUCCUCCUUGUAUCUUAAGUCUGCUGGAGUACUGGCCUGACUCCACUCACUCACUGUGUACUUCGUUUGAAACUAACAAACAAUACAGUGACUGUCAGUAGAUGUUGCCUCCUCAGUCUACAGAGCCAACAAAAAUUAUGGAAAACAACUGAAAAAUACUUCUAAUCUGGCAAAUUCAGCGAGAAGACUGAGUUCCUUAAUUUCUGUCAGCACCAGUGAAAAACUGUCCUAAACUGACCCUGGCUUACAGAUGUACCACUGGAUCUUGGACUAAAUGCAAAGAAGAACAGCAGAAUGGUUGGUGGAGAUUCCUAUGCUUUCGACCCAUGGCGGGGUCACUAAGUCAGGUGAAUCACCUCCCACCCCUAAAGAUUCCCACCCAGUUAUGCCUUCUAAUGUGCUGUUCACAGUUUAUCAACUGAUUCUGAAAUUCUGAGACUUAACAGUUUUAAACUGACUGUUUAUGUUUCUUAUUUAUGCUUUUGCCUACCCCAUCAGUCUAAACCUGAUCCCUGAUUUCUCUCCAUUUUGUUUUAACUUCAUUUGAAACUCACGACUUUAAAGUGACUGUACGUUAGUUUUGACCACAACUAAACCUGGCUAAUAAAUGGCUCCACUUUC